rnacentral:rRNA from 1 species
AAGACCUUGUGCUUUUGGAGCGGCCGAUGCCUGAUUAGCUUGUUGGUAAGGUAAAAGCUUACCAAGGCUUCGAUCAGUAGCUGGUCUGAGAGGACGACCAGCCACACUGGGACUGAGACACGGCCCAGACUCCUACGGGAGGCAGCAGUGGGGAAUUUUGGACAAUGGGGGCAACCCUGAUCCAGCCAUGCCGCGUGAGUGAAGAAGGCCUUCGGGUUGUAAGGCUCUUUCAGCCGGAACGAAACGGUUACGGAUAAUACCCGUGACUACUGACGGUACCGGAAGAAGAAGCACCGGCUAACUACGUGCCAGCAGCCGCGGUAAUACGUAGGGUGCAAGCGUUAAUCGGAAUUACUGGGCGUAAAGCGUGCGCAGGUGGUUUUGUAAGUCAGAUGUGAAAGCCCCGGGCUCAACCUGGGAACU